UUCGGAUUGUAGUCUGCAACCCGACUACAUGAAGCUGGAAUCGCUAGUAAUCGCGAAUCAGAAUGUCGCGGUGAAUACGUUCCCGGGUCUUGUACACACCGCCCGUCACACCAUGGGAGUCGGAAAUGCCCGAAGUCAGUGACCCAACCGUAAGGAGGGAGCUGCCGAAGGUGGAGCCGGUAACUGGGGUGAAGUCGUAACAAGGUAGC
rnacentral:rRNA from 1 species